GUCGCCGUUUGCCGGUUUCAUCAGUUAAGCGACGAUCGCGGCACGGUUAAGCAAAAUGUAAAUUGCAAAGCGUCGAUCGAAGUUUUUUGAACAAAUCCAGAAAUCGGAAACCAGCUCAGACACACACACACACACACACACACACAUACACAUAGUAACACUCACUUACAGAGGUGUAGGUCGGGCUUUUGUUUUAUUUGUAUGUGUUUCAAUGAAUAUUUCGCAUGGAAAUUGUUGCAAAUUGUUGACUAUGGUUGGCCAAAAUGAUGCGGCAACAGCAACAACAACAGCAGCAGCACAGCAGCAACAGCAGUUGC
rnacentral:sRNA from 1 species